CUGUAGCCUGGCUGCAGCCAGCCUCCAGCUCGCGGUCUCUCACCGAGCCCAAGAGCCGUUGGUGUGCAGGUGAUUCAGUGCGUGUGUGUUUCAUUCCCGUGUGUAUUUAUUUCCAAGACGUUGUCAUCUGUGUAGAAGCCAGUUUCGAUCGCUGGUGUCUACCCCUUGCCCUGCGGGCAGGGCAUUGAGCGGCACCCGUUGCCGGCCACCUGGGUGCAGGAGAUCGAGGGUGAUCGAGGGUGAAGGGAGGAGCAACUCUCAGCAUCUGCCAUCCUGCUCCAUCCGAUCUAGAGAUGGAGCGAAUCCGGCAGAUGCUGAGGAGGAAGGCCGGGCAGGUGGAUCCACAGCCAGCAAACAUCAGCCGGCCUGCCCAGGCGGAGAGCGGCCCCUCUGUCCCCGCGGGCAGGGAAGAGGCUCGUGCCCAGGGGAAAGGGAGGAGCUGCUUCGCCUGCUGGAGGAGGCGGAAGACAGCAGCUCCUCUAGCUGAC